rnacentral:rRNA from 1 species
UACGAACCGUACAAACGUUAUUCGGAAUCACUGGGCUUAAAGGGUGCGUAGGCGGCCAUGUAAGUGAGGUGUGAAAUCCCUCGGCUCAACCGAGGAACUGCGCUUCAUACUGCAUGGCUUGAGGGAGACAGGGGUAAGCGGAACUGAUGGUGGAGCGGUGAAAUGCGUUGAUAUCAUCAGGAACAUCCGGUGGCGAAAGCGGCUUACUGGGUCUCUUCUGACGCUGAGGUACGAAAGCUAGGGGAGCGAACGGG